rnacentral:rRNA from 1 species
CAGUCGCCACGGUAAUACAGAGGGUGCGAGCGUUAAUCGGAUUUACUGGGCGUAAAGCGUGCGUAGGCGGCUAAUUGAGUCGGAUGUGAAAUCCCCGAGCUUAACUUGGGAAUUGCAUUCGAUACUGGUUAGCUAGAGUGUGGGAGAGGAUGGUAGAAUUCCAGGUGUAGCGGUGAAAUGCGUAGAGAUCUGGAGGAAUACCGAUGGCGAAGGCAGCCAUCUGGCCUAACACUGACGCUGAGGUACGAAAGCAUGGGGAGCAAACAGGAUUAGAUACCCCCGUAGUCCCUGUCUCUUAUCC